rnacentral:rRNA from 1 species
AUUGAACGCUGGCGGCAUGCCUUACACAUGCAAGUCGAACGGCAGCACGGGAGCAAUCCUGGUGGCGAGUGGCGAACGGGUGAGUAAUAUAUCGGGACGUGCCCGGUCGUGGGGGAUAACGUAGCGAAAGCUACGCUAAUACCGCAUACGAUCUACGGAUGAAAGCGGGGGAUCGCAAGACCUCGCGCGAUUGGAGCGGCCGAUAUCAGAUUAGGUAGUUGGUGAGGUAAAGGCUCACCAAGCCGACGAUCUGUAGCUGGUCUGAGAGGACGACCAGCCACACUGGGACUGAGACACGGCCCAGACUCCUACGGGAGGCAGCAGUGGGGAAUUUUGGACAAUGGGCGCAAGCCUGAUCCAGCAAUGCCGCGUGCAGGAUGAAGGCCUU